rnacentral:rRNA from 1 species
AGUGAACGCUGGCGGUAGGCCUAACACAUGCAAGUCGAACGGCAGCACAGUAAGAGCUUGCUCUUACGGGUGGCGAGUGGCGGACGGGUGAGGAAUACAUCGGAAUCUACUUUUUCGUGGGGGAUAACGUAGGGAAACUUACGCUAAUACCGCAUACGACCUACGGGUGAAAGCAGGGGAUCUUCGGACCUUGCGCGAUUGAAUGAGCCGAUGUCGGAUUAGCUAGUUGGCGGGGUAAAGGCCCACCAAGGCGACGAUCCGUAGCUGGUCUGAGAGGAUGAUCAGCCACACUGGAAUUGAGACACGGUCCAGACUCCUACGGGAGGCAGCAGUGGGGAAUAUUGGACAAUGGGCGCAAGCCUGAUCCAACCAUACCGCGUGGGUGAAGAAGGCCUUCGGGUUGUAAAGCCCUUUUGUUGGGAAAGAAAAGCAGCAGGUUAAUACCCCGCUGUUCUGACGGUACCCAAAGAAUAAGCACCGGCUAACUUCGUG